ensembl:lncRNA
UUUUCGGAUUUUGCUACCAAGAGACUUUUUUUGUAGGUAUUGAUGUGUUACAUGUGUGUACCAAUUUUCGUACAUGUACGUGAAACACAGCUCGAGGCGCACUACGCUGAAAGUGUAUAGGUGGCGCUAUCGAGCCAUUUUGCCACACCCACUUCUGAAACCCAUAUCAGAUGUAAAUUUUCGCCAGUUCUGAUGCGUGUGCAAAGUUUCGUGACUUUUCGAGCAUGUUUAGGCCCUCAAAAAUUGCGAUUCAUUUUUGGAGAAGAAGAAUAAUAAUAAUAAUAAUAAUAAACGAAAGCAAUUCCAAUAGGGUCCUCACACCAUCGGUGCUCGGGCCCCGAAUAAUAAACAAAGCAGAUACAAGAGGGUCCUCACACCAUCGGUGCUCGGGCCCUAAUAAUAAACAAAGCAGAUACAAUAGGGUCCUCACACCAUCGGUGCUCGGGCCCUAAUAAUUCUUAGGAAAACAAUAGGGCUCUUCGCCCCUUCGGGCUUGAGCCCUAAUAAUAAUCCUUAGAAAAACAAGAGGGCCCUGCGCCCAUUGGCUCGGGCCCUAAUAAUAAACAAAGCAAUUCCAAUAGGGUCCUCACACCAUCGGUGCUCGGGCCCUAAUAAACAAAGCAGAUACAAAAGGGUCCUCACACCAUCGGUGCUCGGGCCCUAAUAAUAAUAAUAAUAUACAAAUAUGACAGGAAAAUGACGAUCAGUUAAUGGACUUUCAAGACUGUAGAAUGGAUAAAAAUGUUUUCUUGAAGGCCUAUUUUAUAUUAUGCACUUUAUGUAACAUUUAUUCAUGAUAAACUUAAUUUGAAUCAAUGCUGACAAUGGCAUGUAAUACAGUCCAGUAGCCAAGGCCUAUGGUAAAUAUAAUAUUUUAAUAAUGAAAUAUUUUGUAUAAUAAAUAAUAUAAUAAUUUCUUAAUUCAAAAUAAAUAAUUAAUUAAUAAAUCUCUGAUAAUCCCGGGUUGCUAUGAUCACGCAGGUUUGUUUACUAAUGUGCAAAAAAGGGGCAAUCUUAUCUUGAAUCUUGAUAAAAGUAUUUUUUCAUAAAACUGCAAUCUAGAUAUUGUCUUUGGACUACACAAGAAAAGGAAAAAAAAUACAAAAGAAAAAAAAGAAAAGAAAAGAAAAGUAAAUAGGAGGAUCUUAAAUGGUGGAAGUGGUAGAAUACUUCUGCUGUCAGGAAAGCCAAAUCAAGUUCUUAUACCUGACCUGAAAGUCUUAAAUAAUGCAUAAUAAGCUCCGCCUGCUGGUGAUAGCUGUAAAUGUAAGCACAAGAAAAGCUCACGUUGUUUUCCAAAGACAUAUUUUGAUUACAAUGGCCUGUCCUAAACCCGCAUUGAUUGAAGGCAAUUUUAUUUCUAAUAUAAUAUCAAAUUUUUCAUAAAACUGCAAUUUAAAUAUAUUAUUUCUAUAGGCUAUACAAAAAAAGGACAAAAUAAUUAGGCUGAAAAAGCUGAUCUAUAGCAUGUUAAAUGGUGGUAUCCUAGUCUAUGAAUGGUACACCCCCUAAGCUCACAGAAGUAGUUUGACCCAAGUCCUCAGCAGCCAAUGACACUUACCCGUUCAAACUUAUUUUUAACGCGUACUUCACGCGUAUUUAACACGUACUUCACGUGUACUUCACACGUAUUUAACAUGUUAAAUACACGUAUUUAACGCGCUAAUUUUUCACGUGUAAACAACACGUAUUUAACGCGUGAAAUACGCAUAUUUAACGUGUUGUUUACGCAUUAAAAUUCACAUGUUUAAGACCCUCUGGGCCUUCCAGAAAUGGACGUGACAUUAUGGAACGCCAAACGGUUCACAUUUCACCAUUUACCAGACGCCUGGUGUGCAGAAAAUUAAAAAGUAUUUUAAUUAUUAUUUAAAAUACGGCGUUUUGUAGUACAGACGGUGUAAAUUACGGCGUUUUCACAGCAGAACCGCCGUUAAUAUCG